rnacentral:lncRNA from 1 species
AAGAGUGACCACAAAGGAGGUGCCAGGAGGCCGGCGGGAGCUAAAGCCCCGUGGAUGGAGAAGGAUUGUGUCUAAUCCCCAGCAGCCUCAAGAGCUCAGCGCUAGUGAUAAAAAAGGGAUCUAGCGGUAAUCCAGCCUCUCAACAAAGAGACUUAACCAUCCUGAGGGGUGAGAUCCACUCAGCCGUGCAGGGUCAUCAGCGGAUCUAAUCCAGCCAAGCCUGUGGACAGAUCGAGUCUGGAAGCCUGUCCUGCUCCACGGUCGUUUCCCGGCGUUGCUGUGUCAUGUAGCGACACCUAGUGGGAGAAAGAAGGGGAGCAGGAACCUGACAACAUUUGUGCUUUGGGUGACUCUUUGGAUGAAGGUUACAGAAAAUGUACCUUGGGGUGGGGCACGAGGUCCUGUUUAAAAGCUCUUGUGAGUUUCCUUCCUUGCUGGUAACAAAUGGAGCCUUUUCUCCUUUUAAAAUAUUUACGAUCUGAAUAAGGUGGAGAGGUGUGAUGUCGGUAAACCCUGCUCUGUCCAAAACACCACCCCCACAGAAAUGACACUCCUCUGAGGCCCAGGAGAAGCCCGGAAUCCAGCCAUGCAAAGACUGGAAUGCCUAAGGUUGUUUCUGACCUCAGAUGGUAAUUUAGACUUGGUUCCAAUGAGUACGAUGGACUUCCAAAAAUCAAGUUUACCUUCAACAGAUGAGAUCAUUCCAUCACUACGGACAUUUGAAGCAAUAUGACUAAGGCUAAGUAGAGCAAUUGAAAGGAAGAAUUUCAAACAUGUUGUACACAGUAACAGCAUUGCCAGAAUAAUAUAAAAGCUCACAAGAUAACCAACUAUUUUGAAAAGGACCUUAUGCAACUGGAGGUAGACAUUAAAAGAGCCUUCUAAAAUAAUUAUGUUCAUAAUGAUAAGCUUGUGUUAUCAAGAUUAAAUUAUAAGGGUGCCUGGGUAGCUCAGUAGGUUAAGGCCUCUGUCUUCUGCUCAGGUCAUGAUCUCAGGGUCCUGGGAUCAAGUCCCAUAUCAGACUCUCAGCUCAGCAGGGAGGCUGCUUCCCCUGGCCCCACCUGCCUCUGCCUACUGGCAAUCUCUGUCAAAUAAAUAAAUAAAAUCUUUUUUUUAAUUACAAAAAGAUUAAAUUACAAGCAGUAUACUGUUUACUACAAGGCAUUAUAAAUAAUUUCAAAGACUUCCAAUAGAAAGAAUAAAUCUUUAAAAGUGCUGGUGUUGGAAUAUCAGUUAUCUGAAGAAUUUACCAUGUGGGACAGCUCCGUCUCUUUCAGAAUUUCAUAUAUUAUUAAAUUCACUUCUGAAUACAUCUUGACAUUUCGUUUCUUUUAGCCUGGAAUAUGAUCUUCAAGCCGAGACUCCAAAACAUCCAUUAUUUCUAGAGGUGUAUGAGAGACCUCCUGAUGCGCCCAUCAGGGAUUUAUGUUGUAGCAGCAACAGAAUGACUAAAAGGGAAAAAAGAAAAUUAUGUCUAUUUCUGUCUGAACAGUCCAUGAAAUGGGUAGUAAACCCAAUGAAAGACCAGUAUGUCCAAACGGUGUUUUGUGGAGUUUGGUAUUUAUGACCUAUUCCUAAGAAUAACAUAUUUGAGGGGCCCCUGAGUGGCUCAGUCGGUUGAGCAUCUGCCUUCGGCUCAGGGUGUGAUCCCAUAGUCCUGAAAUCGAGUCCCACUUUGGGCUCCCUGCUCAGCUCAGUGGGGAGGGGUCAGUUCUGCUUCUUCCUCUCCCUGCUGCUCCCCCUGCUUGUGUGCUCUGUCUCUCUGACAAAAAAUAAAAAUAAAAUAA